rnacentral:rRNA from 1 species
CGUAGGGGUGCGAGCGUUAAUCGGAAUUACUGGGCGUAAAGCGUGCGCAGGCGGUUUAGUAAGACAGGCGUGAAAUCCCCGGGCUCAACCUGGGAACUGCGCUUGUGACUGCUAAGCUAGAGUACGGCAGAGGGGGGUGGAAUUCCACGUGUAGCAGUGAAAUGCGUAGAGAUGUGGAGGAACACCAAUGGCGAAGGCAGCCCCCUGGGUCGAUACUGACGCUCAUGCACGAAAGCGUGGGUAGCAAACAGGAUUAGAUACCCUGGUAGUCCACGCCCUAAACGAUGUCAACUAGGUGUUGGGAGGGUAAAACCUUUUAGUACCGGAGCUAACGCGUGAAGUUGACCGCCUGGGGAGUACGGCCGCAAGGUUA